rnacentral:rRNA from 1 species
GAUGAACGCUGGCGGCGUGCUUAACACAUGCAAGUCGAACGAAGCGCUUUAACUUGAUUUCUUCGGAUUGAUUGUUAUUGUGACUGAGUGGCGGACGGGUGAGUAACGCGUGGGUAACCUGCCUCAUACAGGGGGAUAACAGUUGGAAACGACUGCUAAUACCGCAUAAGCGCACGGUAUCGCAUGAUACAGUGUGAAAAACUCCGGUGGUAUGAGAUGGACCCGCGUCUGAUUAGCUAGUUGGCGGAGUAACGGCCCACCAAGGCAACGAUCAGUAGCCGACCUGGGAGGGUGACCGGCCACAUUGGGACUGAGACACGGCCCAAACGCCUACGGGAGGCAGCAGUGGGGAAUAAGGCAAAAUGGGCGAAAGCCUGAUGCAGCGACGCCGCGUGAACGAUGAAGUAUUUCGGUAUGUAAGGUUCUAUCAGCAGGGAAGAAGAAUGACGGUACCUGACUAAGAAGCACCGGCUAAAUACGUGCCAGCCGCCGCCGUAA